rnacentral:rRNA from 1 species
UACGGAGGGUGCAAGCGUUAUCCGGAUUCACUGGGUUUAAAGGGUGCGUAGGUGGGCAGGUAAGUCAGUGGUGAAAUCUUUGGGCUUAACCCGAAAACUGCCGUUGAUACUAUCUGUCUUGAAUAUAGUGGAGGUGAGCGGAAUAUGUCAUGUAGCGGUGAAAUGCUUAGAUAUGACAUAGAACAUCGAUUGCGAAGGCAGCUCGCUACACUAUGAUUGACACUGAGGCACGAAAGCGUGGGGAUCAAACAGG